GACGAACGCUGGCGGCGUGCUUAACACAUGCAAGUCGAACGAUGAAGAAGAGAAACGCGAACUUCGGUUCAAAUUUCACUUCGGAUUAGUGGCAGACGGGUGAGUAACGCGUGAGCAACCUACCUCUUACAAAGGGAUAGCCUCGGGAAACCGUGAUUAAUACCAUAUGACACAUUCAUAAGGCAUCUUAAGAAUGUUAAAGCUACGGCGGUAAGAGAUGGGCUCGCGUCCCAUUAGCUAGUUGGUGAGGUAACGGCCCACCAAGGCGACGAUGGGUAACCGGCUUGAGAGGGUGAACGGUCACAUUGGAACUGAGACACGGUCCAAACUCCUACGGGAGGCAGCAGUGGGGAAUAUUGCACAAUGGAGGGAACUCUGAUGCAGCGACGCCGCGUGAGCGAUGAAGGAAUUCGUUUCGUAAAGCUCUGUUCUAUGGGAAGAAAAGGACUGUACCAUAGGAGAAAGCCCCGGCUAAAUACGUG
rnacentral:rRNA from 1 species